rnacentral:tRNA from 1 species
AACUAUUAUGGCAGAAAAAUGCUUUAAAUUUAAAAUUUAAUUAUGAGUAAAUUCUUUUAGU